UGGAUUUGGACUACGUUUUAGAAGAUUUUUUCAGAUCUUCCUUCCAUGUUUGUCCUGAUCAAACCCAAUCAAUUAAAAGCAAGAAAAUCUUUCCCACAAUCCACCGGAACGGACCAAAUCUUUUUCUUUUCUUUUUUUUAAACCUUAAUGUCCACAAAUUACAAGCCCAAUAGCCCAAACUGAUCCAAAAGGUCUUUCCAGUCAAAUUGGUCAAAAUAACUAGUUGAGUCAAGAACUCACCUGCUGAAGUGAGAAAUGUCGUUUUUGGGCAGAGUCGCCGGCGGAAGCCAAGACGGAAAGCAGGGAAGACUUUCUUCCUCGCUUCUCCUCUUCCUUUCCCGACCAGCGACUCUCCUCUCCUCCCCGAUCUGAUGAAUCCCCGUUCAUUUAGCUCCUGCAGCCGCAUUCUUUACUUGCCGGAGGCUCUCUCUUUCUUUCUCUCUCGGUGGAUGAGUGCUGUUAUCUGUCUGGGGUCAAUCUGUUUUCAAAUUUGAGUAUGUAUGUGCUUAAGUACAAAGCAUGCUGCUAGAAACAGCCUCAGGACUUGCAAUUUCUCAUGCAAGAGGAGAGAAAAUCACUGUGCUAUUUCAUUACGAAUGGUGGAGGUAGUCCUGAUGCUGCGGGCUGCAGCUGCAGAUUCUCAAUUCUACGUACUUACAAGUUCAAUUUUGCCUGCAAUUGAAUGUACUUCUUCAGAUACCUCAAUUCUAUGUACUAACAACUUCAAUUUGGCCUGCAGGUUCUCAAUUCUAUGUAGCAACAAGUUCAUUUUUGCCUGCAAUUGAAUAUACUUCUUCAGAUACCUUAUUCAUUUCAGUAACCCUGUAUUUCAUUACACAAAUCUGGUUGUUUUUAACCAACUUUCAGUAACCCUGCAUUUCUCAUUCAGCCAGAAUUACGUGAUCAAGACUUUAGGCAACAUAGAAAAGCACAUACAUUACGUCCUUAUUUGUCACUGUACCAAAUUUUAUUGCUUCCUAACAUUUCUUUGCAGCCAUCGAAAGUAUAGCUUGCAGUUCACGGUGACUACAUUCUUAUCUGGAGUUCCAACUCUUGCCCACUUUGAGAAAAUAUUCAAUGCAAUUGAACCACGGAUGCCAAGUGAAGCCUUGUUUUCUAGAGAAAUCUCAGGACAAAUAUUCUGUCAUAUCUGAUUGCAUAGUGCUAUAUCAGCAAGGAUAUGGCAUGUAGAUUUUUUUGGAUGAUUGAAUAGCAAGACUGAGACCUUUCUUUUAGAACAUCCGGCUUGGAUGGUGAAUUUCUUGGGUGGUUGUAUAAAACUUUAUUGUAGUUUAUUAGUGGAUUUUGUAGAAAAAAUAUUUUGAGAUGUGUAGGACUUUCUCUUUCUUUA